rnacentral:rRNA from 1 species
GAUGAACGCUGGCGGCGUGCCUAAUACAUGCAAGUCGAGCGAACAGACGAGGAGCUUGCUCCUCUGACGUUAGCGGCGGACGGGUGAGUAACACGUGGAUAACCUACCUAUAAUACUGGGAUAACUUCGGGAAACCGGAUCUAAUACCGGAUAAUAUAUUGCACCGCAUGGUUCAAUAGUGAAAGACGGCUUUUCUGGCACGUAUAGAUGGAUCCGCGCCGCAUUAGCGAGUUGGGCAGGUAACGGCUUAGCAAGGGAACGAGGCGUAGACGAACUGAGGGGGUGAUAGCCCACACUGGAACGGAACCACCGACAAGACUACUAAGGGAGGGCGCAGUAGGCAACCUUACGCAAUAGGCGAAAACAUGGCGGAGCAAGGCCGAGUGAGAGAUGAAGGUCUUCGGAUCGUAAAACCCUCUUAUUAGGGAAGAACAAAUGUGUACGUAACUAAGCACGUAUUGACGGUAACUAAUAAGAAAGCACCGGCUAACUACGUG